GUGAGGAAUAUUGGUCAAUGGGCGAAAGCCUGAACCAGCCAUGUCGCGUGAAGGAUGAAGGUCCUAUGGAUUGUAAACUUCUUUUGCAGGAGGGUAAAGUGAGCUACGUGUAGUUCAUUGCAAGUACCCUGCGAAUAAGCAUCGGCUAACUCCGUGCCAGCAGCCGCGGUAAUACGGAGGAUGCGAGCGUUAUCCGGAUUUAUUGGGUUUAAAGGGUGCGUAGGCGGACUAAUUAGUCAGCGGUGAAAUUUUGCGGCUCAACCGUAAAACUGCCGUUGAAACUGUUAGUCUUGAGUGCGGUAGAGGUAGGCGGAAUGUGUGGUGUAGCGGUGAAAUGCUUAGGUAUCACACAGAACACCGAUUGCGUAGGCAGCUUACUGGAGCGCAACUGACGCUGAGGCACGAAAGCGUGGGGAUCGAACAGGAUUAGAAACCCCAGUAGUCC
rnacentral:rRNA from 1 species